CUACUCUAUCAGACCACACUAGAUCAGGUGACUCCUCCUCAGACCACACUAGAUCAGGUGACUACUCUAUCAGACCACACUAGAUCAGGUGACUCCUCCCUCAGACCACACUAGAUCAGGUGACUACUCUAUCAGACCACACUAGAUCAGGUGACUCCUCCUCAGACCACACUAGAUCAGGUGACUACUCUAUCAGACCACACUAGAUCAGGUGACUACUCUAUCAGACCACACUAGAUCAGGUGACUACUCUAUCAGACCACACUAGAUCAGGUGACUACUCUAUCAGACCACACUAGAUCAGGUGACUACUCUAUCAGACCACACUAGAUCAGGUGACUACUCUAUCAGACCACACUAGAUCAGGUGACUACUCUAUCAGACCACACUAGAUCAGGUGACUACUCUAUCAGACCACACUAGAUCAGGUGACUACUCUAUCAGACCACACUAGAUCAGGUGACUACUCUAUCAGACCACACUAGAUCAGGUGACUACUCUAACAGACCACACUAGAUCAGGUGACUACUCUAUCAGACCACACUAGAUCAGGUGACUACUCUCUCAGACCACACUAGAUCAGGUGACUACUCUAUCAGACCACACUAGAUCAGGUGACUACUCUAUCAGACCACACUAGAUCAGGUGACUACUCUAUCAGACCACACUAGAUCAGGUGACUACUCUAUCAGACCACACUAGAUCAGGUGACUACUCUAUCAGACCACACUAGAUCAGGUGACUACGCUUAGAUUAUUAUUAUUAUUUUUUUAAACUCACUUUGUUAUUGAAAAUCUAGCUAGCAAGCAAGAGAA